AUGUCUCUUCAUUUCUGAGCCAUCUAUACACUUUAUACUUGCAAAAUCUUAUUAGGGCAUUAGCUGAGGAUGUUUUAGUGCAUUAGAAGGAAACAAUCAACUAGAGAGUGUAAUAUAAUUUCCGUACAGGGUAGUUCUCUGUUUACUGUCACUGGAGUGGUUAACUGGGAAUGUAUUUGUGACAGUAGCAGCCCAGGGCCCUGUGCUGCAGCUAAAAUGGUCAGUGAGUCUGCCAGAAGAGGUGGACCUGCCAAAAGGGGUGGUCCUGCCCACUUUUGUCCUUGGCCAUGUUCUCACUCUGCUCAGUGAGGCAGCAGCCAGCAGGUGAGUGUGUUCAGACUGCUGAGCCAGCAGAAAACUAUUACUGCAACUAAAACUGAAAGGCUUUCCACCAGAUCAGCCAGGUGAAUCCAGCACCUUAUAGCUCUGUGUGGCUGGAUCCAACCCUGGUGAAAGGGACAAUGAGGGGAUGGGACUCCUUGUUUUCAAGGCAUCUUGCUUACAGGUAGAUUACAGGCUGUCUCUAACUUGAAACUAAAUUAAACACCUUGUCCAGGAUCACAGAGGAAAUCUGCAGCACAGCAGGGAACUGAAUCAGGUUUUCAAGUCCAAGCCAAUGUCCAGAGCAGGGUACCUGCCUUGUUCUCACUGUGGGAGCUGAAAAGGGACCCCCCUCAGUUCACUUGAUCCAUUCUCCUGCUCACUCUGAGCAUGGUGGAAAGGACACACUCCAUUGCUGCCCAGAUGCCUCUGCCUGGGACUAGACUAGACUAAUUUCCUGGGCUGUCUAAAGGCUCCAACAUCGCUAAUGCCUGUGGGAGCAUGGAUCUGGGGGCUGCAGGCUCUGGGGCUAGCAGGUCACAACAGAGUGAGGAGGGACAUGAGAACAGCAAUGUUUUCUAAAAGUCAACUUUUUGUGUGUGUUUUUGUUUUUCUCUGUAUAUGUAUUUCUCUGAUUUUCCUGAACAUCCAGAGGGCCUAAAGGAAACUGCCUCCAAGACUGACACCUGUCCCCUUAACCAGCUGUGGACACUGGAGUUCCAAACUCUCCAUGAAACGCUCUUGAAGGCAUGGCUCUCUCUGUUCUACUCCCUUCUGCCAUCAAAAGGAUGAGCGUUUUGGACAUCGCUUCACUACAGAGGCUGUCACACGCCAGAGGCUGCUCAGAGGAUCCCAGGCCAUGGCAGAAUUCCAUGGCACCUCCUGGCCUCAGGUGCAGCUCCAGGACAGUUCCCUGUCAUUGCUGAGGUCCUCAGGCACUUUGCUGAUGAGAAGGCUGCUGGCAGUGACACACUGCAGGUUCUGUGAACUCUUAGUGAGGUUGAGAUCAGGCACCACCAGAAGAGCUGGGUGUCUGCAUAGACACAGGAUUUCAUUGCUGCAUGCAAGAAUGAGAUGUUAAAUGUAACUAGUAAUUGUCUCUUAGGCAGCUGCUACAUAUUUCAAAUGCUUCUAGUAAAAGUAUUUCCAGCAGCACUCCUCCUUCCUCUCCUCUUCUUCCCUCAUGAGAGACUGUUGAGCUAUUUCUUUCUUUGAAUUCAACCUAAAACAUAAAGAGAGUGAUGUUGGUCCACUCUAGACUGAAAGAAAACUUACUGUGUGCUGUCUUCCUCUUCAGCAAGAUCAUAUUUUUCAACAGAACAACA